rnacentral:rRNA from 1 species
GGGUAAUGGCCUACCAAGCCUACGAUCUAUAGCUGGUUUUAGAGGAUGAUCAGCCACACUGGGACUGAGACACGGCCCAGACUCCUACGGGAGGCAGCAGUGGGGAAUAUUGCACAAUGGGGGAAACCCUGAUGCAGCCAUGCCGCGUGUGUGAAGAAGGCCUUCGGGUUGUAAAGCACUUUCAGUUGUGAGGAAAAGUUAGUAGUUAAUACCUGCUAGCCAUGACGUUAACAACAGAAGAAGCACCGGCUAACUCCGUGCCAGCAGCCGCGGUAAUACGGAGGGUGCGAGCGUUAAUCGGAAUUACUGGGCGUAAAGCGCACGCAGGCGGUUUGUUAAGCUAGAUGUGAAAGCCCCGGGCUCAACCUGGGAUGGUCAUUUAGAACUGGCAGACUANAGUCUUGGAGAGG